UACGAAGGGGGCUAGCGUUGCUCGGAAUCACUGGGCGUAAAGGGUGUGUAGGCGGUUGUUUAAGUUUGGUGUGAAAUCUCCCGGCUCAACUGGGAGGGUGCGCCGAAUACUGAAUGACUUGGAGUGCGGGAGAGGAGAGUGGAAUUCCUGGUGUAGCGGUGAAAUGCGUAGAUAUCAGGAGGAACACCGGUGGUGUAGACGGCUCUCUGGACCGUAACUGACGCUGAGACACGAAAGCGUGGGUAGCAAACAGG
rnacentral:rRNA from 1 species